UACGUAGGGGGCAAGCGUUGUCCGGAAUCAUUGGGCGUAAAGAGCGUGUAGGCGGUCCGGUAAGUCGGUUGUGAAAGUCAAGGGCUCAACCCUUGAAUGCCGACCGAUACUGCCGGGCUAGAGUCCGGAAGAGGUGAGUGGAAUUCCUGGUGUAGCGGUGAAAUGCGCAGAUAUCAGGAGGAACACCAAUGGCGAAGGCAGCUCACUGGGACGGUACUGACGCUGAGGUGCGAAAGCGUGGGGAGCAAACAGG
rnacentral:rRNA from 1 species